UGCUAUAGUUUACUUCUAAUAAACCUGACAUUGUAUAAUAAAUAUUGUUGACAGAUUGUUUAUGUUCCUUCCUAGAAUCUUCCAUGCUAAUAGCCGUGCAGCAGAGUUGAAGUGUAUCUCCUGUCAAAGAACAUCUCUAGACAUUAUGAACCAUAUGACCAAGACUGAAAAUCAUCAAUAAAACACAAGUGGAUUGAUAGCUCCAACACCAAUUAAGCAGACCUGAGCAGCUGAUCAAGGAUCACCAGAAACUCUGCAGAACUUCAGUACCCAGUCCUCAAUAAGUCCUCAAUACCCAGGACUGGAAACCAGAGUUAUGCUGGAGAAAAAGCAGCCAGGCUAAAGCAUUUAAAGUGGAAACUUUUGUCGUGGCUCAAAAAUCCAGGAUUGGGAUGGUGGAAGGAGCAGAAGAAGCAGAAGAUCAGAGAUCAGGCAGAGAUCUACUGAUGCCCCUGAGGGAACCGUUUAACUAAUGUGUUUGGUUAAACCAAAAAUUUUCAGCACUCACCUUCAUGUCUUUCCAAACCUGUAAAACUUUUGGUCAUCUUUGAAACAUAAAUGUAGAUCUUUUUAAUGAAAUCUGAGAAAUUUCUGUCCCUCUAUUUCACACUUUAUGCAACUACCAUUUUCAAGCCUCAGAAAGGUAGUAAAGACAGCAUUAAAGUAAGCCAUGUGACUCCAGUUGUUUAACCUUAAUUUUAUGAAGUGAUGUGAAUGGUUUAUAUGCACAAAAAACAUUGCAUUUUUAUUCACACACAAACAAAAAUCUUAUGGUGCUUUUGUGAAAAUGCGUUGGAGAUACCUAAUGUAUGAAUAAAGAUGUAAUUUUGUUGUUGUUGCUGUUUUUUGCAUACACAAGGCAUCUGUUAAAAAUAUCUUUAUUUGCAUUCUGCACAAAAGUUUUUUAUGGGUUUGGAGUGACAUGAAAGUAAGUAAUUAAUGGCAAAAUUAGCAUUUUUUGGGUGAGAUGUGUUCUAAUGUGGUUAGAAUUGGUCAUUGUCCUGUGUUAUAAACAUUUUCAGUAUUUCAAAGAUUAUUGUUUUGAAAAAUCAGUUUCAAAUAAAUACUGCUCCUUUGAAAGUUCUAUUUGAAGAAUACUGAAAAUAUGUUUUCCACAAAAAAUAUUGGGCAGCACAACUGUUUUCCACAUUGAUAAUAAUCUGAAAUGUUUCUUGAGCAGCAAAUCAUAUUAAAAAUGUUUUCUGAAGGGUCAUGUGACACUGAAUACUGGAGUAAUUAUGAUGAAAAUGUAGUUCACAUGAAUAAAUUACCUUUCACAAUGUAUUCAUAUAGAAAACAUAGUUAUAUUUUAUAAUUUUACUGUUUUUACGGUAUGUUUAAUCAAAUGCAGGCUUAAUUUGUGAGCAGGAAAGUGUUUUUUACUUGAAAGAUGUAUUUAAUGUGUCAAUAAAUGUUUUAGUACUCUUUUGUGAAUUGUCUUAUUUUGAAUAUGAGAUAAAUAUAAUCAUGAAUUUACGGUUGAAAUUCGGCCUGAAAAAGACGUCUUUUUAACUUUCACUU